rnacentral:rRNA from 1 species
UACGUAGGGGGCAAGCGUUGUCCGGAAUCAUUGGGCGUAAAGCGCGUGUAGGCGGCUCGAUAAGUCUGCUGUGAAAGUCCAGGGCUCAACCCUGGGAUGCCGGUGGAUACUGUCGAGCUCGAGUCCGGAAGAGGCGAGUGGAAUUCCUGGUGUAGCGGUGAAAUGCGCAGAUAUCAGGAGGAACACCAGUGGCGAAGGCAGCUCGCUGGGACGUGACUGACGCUGAGACGCGAAAGCGUGGGGAGCAAACAGG